ACAUGUGAUUUUUGGCUGUGGCAGUGCACUGUCAACAUGCUUUCUCUAAUGACCGAGGGGAAAAAUGUCCAGACCUUUGUACGUUAUUCUCUAAAAGACUACUGACGUGGCUUCAAAUGUCAGGCCACCCUGAUGUUUCUUUGCAUCUUUGAUUGCUUUAGGUGUAUUUUGGUGACAUGCAACACCAUUGGAAUCUUUCUCAAUAUUGCUACAAGAAAGUUAUCAUAAUGUUACUUAGCACCAUGGCAUUGCCAAAACAUCUGGAUGGUGUCAGGGGACUUCAGAGGAUGGGGAAAAAUAUCAUGGAAGUUCCUUGAAAGGUUUUAACUAUAAAGCUGGAAAAUGAAAGGAAAUUUAUUGAGCACUGUUAACCUGGUCCUUCCAUAGGCAGAUUUGCCUUUAAACAAAAGGUAUC